rnacentral:misc_RNA from 1 species
GGGUAGAAGAAGGAAGAUGUUUAUACACAAAAUUAGCAGUGGAAAUAAAGAGUGGGUGGAAGGUGAUGAGAAAAUUGCCAAAGCAGCCUGUGAUCAUUUUAAACAUAUUUUUACUAGAACUGAACAACCUAUUAAUGAGGAAAUUCUUCAGCAUAUCCCUAGGAAUUUGGAGAUGAUUUUAUUGGUAAAGUUACUUAAACAAAGGCAAAAGUCAUUUUAUGGUUCCAA